rnacentral:lncRNA from 10 species
UUUUUUAAAAGUUUAUUAUUGUUGCCAAUAUAUAAUAGCUUACUAUGUGUAGGUAUCCUACCUACAUUAUCUCUAAUCCUCAAUAUAACCCCAUGAGGUAGGUUGUGUUAAUUACAUUUUGCACGUGAAGAAACUGAGGCCCAGGGAGGCUAAAUGAUUUUCCCUGUCAUGCAUUCAGCUGCAGACAUGGAAACUGAACCUAUGUAUGUCUCACCCAGAGCCCAAAUUACCAAUCCUCCUGUUGGUAGUUGUAUAAAGACAAGGUGGUUUAAACAGAUUUCCAGACUGAGUCACAAAACACUGACAACUCAAGUACUGAAGAAAAAGAAAGACAAAGGUGUAAAUGUAAUUAUGGUGGGAAAUAUUAAACAUGUAUUUUUUAAUGUCCACAAACCCACUAAAAUUAAAUCAACUCAAUAAAUAGAAUAAACAUGUAGUAAAUCAUGCCUGACAUAUAGGCAUAUUCUGGUUUCAGUGGUUAACUGGAUCUAAAAACUGAUUCUUUAUGAAAAUACUAAUGAAAUACACAUACUGAAGGUAAAGGUUUUCAAAGCACAAUACAAAGUUGGAAAUGAAGGUAGAAAUAUAACAGUUUUUUUUCUCCAUAUCAGACAGGUAAUGUACUAACGCUGUAACAAGCUCUUUGGGAGGCACAUCUCAUACAUGCAAUGGGAACACCUAAUUACUAUGUUUAUGAACUAUAAAAGGAUCUAAGUUUUAAAAGAGUAUUUUUAAAUUGGAUGUUAUUUGUAAAACAAACUUCAAAAUCAUAAACGAGUGCAAUUCUACUAAAGUACCCAAAGUGAUAAUACUAAAAAUGCUUUGAUUUCAUUAUCCUGACAUUUUGGAUUUUGUAUAUAUUUAUAUUUUCUCUUUAAUUUUAUUACAAACAUUUGGCAUAUGUCUUUAGUCUCUUACUCUCAACUCUUUAUUUUAACCAAGUCCUAUUUCAGUAUCAUGACCCUUCCUCUACAAUCACCCUGACCAGAAAGUCACACUUAUUUUUGUCUUAAAAAGGGGGAAAAAAGGUUGAAAUCUGAGCCAGAAACAGCAAAUAAUUUAAAUGCCAACAAGUCUAGCUUAGACUCCAAACAAAAAUACUACAUUAUAUAAAAAUUAGAGAAUCAGCUGAAGAAUAGACCAUGUUCGUUCCUUGGUGGUGGAUGAAAUUAUCAAUUAGCCAGCAACACCAACUAGGGAUUAGUAUAAUGAAGACCUUCAAAGGGUGUUUGGUGCCAUCUACUGGAAAUGAAGUAGUAAGUAUAAAACAAAGGUUUUGAGAUUCGGAGUUUUCCUAGAAAUUAUUUUACACAGAUGUAUGGAAUGACCAGUUAAUUAAGAAAACCUGAAAGUAUAAGUUUUGAAGAAAGAACUGAGAAUCCUAAGAUAAUGAAGAAGUGGUGACUUUCAAUACCUAGUGCCUCAAAGGCAUGGCCUAAGCAUUGACUGACUGAGAGUCACAGCUCCAGAAAUAGAAGCUGGGAAUUCUAGAAUGUUUGAACCAGAAUUUUAUGACCAGAACUUUAAAUAAAAAGUUAUGUGUAAUAGCAUAAACAUGGGAUGACAAUAGUUUAUAUCUUUGAGCACAUAUCAAGAUAAACUAAUUGAGAUAUAUACUUGAAAAUGGGGAAUUACAAAGACAUAAAAUAUUAGACUUGUCAGAUAAUCUUUACUGCCAAGUUAAUCUCUGCCCAGUCUCCUCUGGGAGGCUUAUACUCCAGAUGGGCAUAGGACAGUAUAUUAAGAGGUAAAUGCCAAUACUGAGCAAGCAGCAGGCUCAUCACACACUAUGGAGUUCUCUGCCGGAGAUGCCGCUUCAGAGAGCACCCCAGAGUGGCAGGGAAGAAAACUGUUACCGUAUUAUAAUCCUGAAGUGCCUAAAAAGUUCUAUCACUAUGGGAAUUAAAGCCCCCUAUUUAUAACUGAGUUUGAUACCUCCUAACUACUAUGACAUUAAAAUAUAUUUUGUCUUAUAAGGUUUUGAGGAAUUGAUUUUGUUCCUCGAAGCAGAUAAAUCAGGAUUUCAAGUUUCUGGUUCAACAGUAUCAUCUCUUUCUUUGUGGCUAUUUUGGACACACUAAUAUGAUACCUAACAUCAUAAUAUUAAAUUUUAAAAACCUUUAAAAACACUGUUUUGCAAAAAUUAGUCACUCUACAAAUCUGUGAUUUAGAAAAUGAGGCAACAGCCAGGGGCCGUGGCUCCAUUAUUUCUUAAUAGUCAAUAAGUGAAAACAACUCACAUGCCCAUCAACUGAUGAAUUAUAAACAAAAAUGUGGUAUAACUAUAGAAUGGAAUAUUAUUUGCAGACAAAAAAGAAUGAUGGAUGUACUGAUACAUGCUACAACACAGAGGAACUUUGAAAACAUUAUGCUAAAUGAGAGAAGCCAGACACAAAAGGCUACAUGUUGUAUUAUUCCAUUUAUAUGAAAUGUUCAAAAUAGGUACAUCUGUAGAGACAGGAAGUACAUUAGUGGAUUCUAGGGGUAGGGGGAUGAGGAGUGAUUAUUAAUGGAUAUGAGGUUUCUUUCUGGGGUUAUGAAAACAUUCUGGAAUUAGGAAUGAUGGAUGCAUAACUCUGAGUAUAUUAAAAACCACUGAAUUGUAAGCUUUAGAAGGGUAAAUUUUAUGGCAUAUAAAUUUUAUCUCAACUUUUUAAAUGUUAAAAAAAAAAAGAGUAAAGCAGAGUACAGAGACAGGGAAGAAAGUUUCCUAUUUUGGAUAGGGUGAUCAGGAAUGACCUUAGUUUGAGCAGAGAUCUGAACAAUGUAAAGAAGCUACUCGUGCAAAUCGGGGAGGUGGGGGAACAUUCCAGAAGGAAGAAAGAGCAAGUGAGAAGACUCUGGGAGUAGACACAAGCCUGUUUUGAAAGAACAGCAAGGAGGCCGGCCAGUGUAGCUCAGUGCAGUGAGCAAGAGUGAGGCUGUAGAAAGCCAGGGUCUAGGUCAUAUGGAGGCCCUGUAGACCACACUGAGGACUGGACUUUAUUCUAAAUGAUUUAAAAAAAUCACUGGAGCCAGGAGCAAUAUGACUAGUUGCACAUUUAAUUAAUUAAUUAAUUUAGAGACAAAAUCUCGCUCUGUUGCCCAGGCUGGAAUGUAGUGGUGAGAUCUUGGCUCACUGCAGCCUCCGCCUCCAGAUUUCAAGCAAAACUCCUGCCCCAGCCACCCGAGUAGCUGGGAUUACAGGUGCAUGCCACCACGUCCAGCUAAUUUUUGAAUAUUUAGUAGAGAUGGAGUUUCACCACAUUGGCCAAACUGGUCUCAAACUCCUGACCUCAAGUGAUCCGCUGGCCUCAGCCUCACAAAGAGCUGGGAUUAUAGGCAGGAGCCACUGCGCCCAGCCUUGAUGUACAUUUCAAAAGGUUCCUCUCUGAUACUGGAUGGAGAAUAAACAGGCAGCAAGAGUGGAAGGAGGAAGACUUGUUAGGAGGCUACUGCAGUAGUCCAGGCAAGAGAGAUGGCUUAGGUUAGCACAGGUGGUGAAAAGUGGUCAAAUUCAAAAUGUACUCUGACGUUAAAGCCAAAAUAAUCUGCUAAUGAAUCAGAUGUAAGGCAUAAAAUAAAAGAGUCAAAGAUGGCCCCAAGGACCAUGGUCUGAGCAAAGGAGUGAAUGAAAGGGCCAUUUACUAUGAUGGGAAAGCCCCAAAAAAGAAGACUGGGCAGAGUUCUGUUCAGUUAAUCUUAAAUUUGAGGUGCCUAAUAGUCUAGUUGCAUAUACAUGACUGUAGUUCAGUAAAAUGGUCCGACAGGAAGAGUAUAAAUUUGAGAGAGAUGGCAGAAGGUGUUUGAAGCCACACAAAUGGACACUUCACCAAAGAAGAGACUAGAGAGUCCAAGGACUGAGCCCUGGAGCACUUAACAUUUAGACACUUAGAAAACUUGGCUCAAUUUACAUCCCCUAUGAGGAUGAGCCUCUUAGAGGAAGAAUACAAGGAUGCUGCACUUUGGUUAUUCUUCCAGAAUUAGAUGAUCUAAUGGAUAAAAAGUUCCUUCAAACCAAGACUUUUGGGAUCAAAGGUAUCUUUUCUCGAUUUUUCAAAGAUUUCCUCUUCUUCUAUUUCUUUAGUGUUAGCUCACAGACAGCAGAUCUGUUGACCUACCAGAUUCUCUCAGAUUAUUUAUCUGCAAAGUAUGCUGCCUUAAGGACUUCAAGUCAAAUCUCUAGUAACACAACACCAAUAAAAUGAUAAGGCAGUACUUUGGUUUGGAGUAUAUUAUUUUAUCCUAGAAGAUUUGGCUUCACUAUUAAGACAACAAUUAGGUCUGCUUUUCUUAGGUAUACACAAAAAUAGAAACAGUCCUUAUGAUGGAUUAUUUACAGAUAUAUAGUAUUUUGGUGGGUAGAGGCAUGGGGAACUAUUUAGCUCAGCUGGCAAAAAGUCCAAGCAAAACAAUCCAAAUGCCUAGAGUGGUGACAGUUGUGCAAUGGGUACUUCAAAGCUGUACAACAUUCAAAUACUUAAACAUUGAAGGCAGUAGGUAGAAUAAACAUCAAGAGUUUCUGCCUUUAUGCUGAAUAGCAUUAGCUUUCUCAUCUGGGAAAUGGGAGAUGGUAGUACCUGCUCUAUUUAUCUCAUAAGGAUUAAGUGAAUCAAGGUGCUCUGCACCCUGUAGCAUGCAAUGCAGUCAUUAUCAUUAUUAUUUUCUUUACAGGGAACUAACGUGCCAGGAAAGCUUUCAAAGAACUAAGUAGGCCAGGCAUGGAGGCUCGUGCUUGUAAUCCCAGCACUUUGGGAGGCUGAGGUGGGUGAUCACCUGAGCUCAGGAGUUCGAGACCAGCCUGGCCAACAUAGUGAAACCCCAUCUCUACUAAAAAUACAAAAAUUGAGGCUGAGCACGGUGGCUCAUGCCUGUAAUCCUAGCAUUUUGGGAGGCCGAGGCAGGUGGAUCAUGAGGUCAGGAGAUUGAGACCAUCCUGGCUAACAUGGUGAAACCCCAUCUCUACUAAAAAUACAAAAAAUUAGUCAGGCGUGGUGGUAAGCGCCUGUAGUCCUAGCUACUUGGGAGUCUGAGGCAGGAGAAUCACUUGAACCCGGGAGGUGGAGGUUGCAGUAAGCUGAGAUUGCGCCACUGCGCUCCAGCCUGGGUGACAGAGCGAGACUCCAUCUCAAAAAAAAAAAAAAAAAAAAAAUUAGCCAGGCAUGGUGGCAUGCACCUGUAGUCCCAGCUACUUGGGAGGUUGAGGCAGGAGAAUUGCUUAAACCCAGGAGGUGGAGGUUGCAGUGAGCCAAGAUAAUGCCACUGCACUCCAGCCUGGGCGACAGAGCAAGACUCUGUCUCAAAAAAAAAAAAAAAAAAAAGAACUACAAUAGGUGGUCAAAUUUCAGAUGCAAUAGGAUUUAAAAAUCUAGUUAAAGAUUUGUAAAAGGUACAUGCAAGGAUAACCAUUACAGAAUUGCUUAAAGUAGCAAAAUAUUAGAAAUAACUUAAAAAUAACUUGAAUGUCCAUCAACAGGGAAUUAGUUAAAUAAAUUAUGGUCCAUCCUACCAUGGAUUGACUAUAAAGCAGCCCUUAAAAAUCUAGAGAUAAGGCCAGGCACGGUGGCUCAUCCCUGUAAUCCCAGCACUUUGGGAGGCCAAGGGGGGGUGGAUCAUCUGAGGUCAGGAGUUUGAGACCAGCCUGGACAACAUGGUGAAACCCUGUCUCUACCAAAAAUGCAAAAAUUAGCCGGGCGUGGUGGUGCACGCCUGUAAUCCCAGCUACCAGGAAGCUGAGGCAGGAUAAUUGCUUGAGCCCUGGCGGGAGAGGUUGCAGUGGGCCAAAACUGCGCCACUGCCCUCUAGCCUAGGUGACAGAGUGAAACUCUGUCUCAAAAAGGAAAAAAAAAAAAAAAGAAAUUAAAAAACUGAGACAAUUUUACCGGUACCGAUAAGAAACCAUCACAAGAUGUAUAAGAUGUAUGUGAACAAAGA